rnacentral:rRNA from 1 species
CCUACGGGUGGCAGCAGUAGGGAAUAUUGCUCAAUGGGGGAAACCCUGAAGCAGCAACGCCGCGUGGAGGAUGAAGGUUUUCGGAUUGUAAACUCCUUUUGUUAGAGAAGAGAAUGACGGUAUCUAACGAAUAAGCACCGGCUAACGCCGUGCCAGCAGCCGCGGUAAUACGGAGGGUGCAAGCGUUACUCGGAAUCACUGGGCGUAAAGAGCGCGUAGGCGGGAUCGCAAGUCAGAUGUGAAAUCCUAUGGCUUAACCAUAGAACUGCAUUUGAAACUGUUAUUCUAGAGUAUGGGAGAGGUAGGUGGUAUUCUUUGUGUAGUGGUCAAAUCCGUAGAGAUCACGAGGAAUACUCAUUGCGACGGCGCCCUGCUAGAACAUAACUGACGCUGAUGCGCGAAAGCGUGGGGAGCAAACAGGAUUAGCUACCCGUGUAGUC